rnacentral:tRNA from 2 species
GGGCCGAUAGAUCAGUCUGGAAGAUCGUCUGCUUUGCAAGCAGGAGGUCGUGGGUUCAAAUCCCACUCGGUCCA